rnacentral:ncRNA from 1 species
AAAGUUUUAUUUUAGCUUAAAAAUUUAUUAUUAAUUUAUAUUAUAUGUAAAUUUUUGUGUGAAUUUAUAUUUAUUUUAAAAAUAAAUAUAAUUUUAUUUUAUUUGCAAUAAUUAAUAUUAUUAAUUAAAGAAAUUUAGAAAUAGAAAUAUUAAUUUAAUAUUAACUUAAUUUGUGCCAGCAGUUGCGGUUAUACAAAUAAUAUGAAUAAAUUUUAUUAAUAUUAGUUAAAUUUUAAUUUAAUAAAAUAAAAAUAAAUUUAUUAAGUGAAAUUUUAAAUUUAUAAUAUUUUAAAUAAGUAAGUUAUUAAAGCUAAUAAUUUUUAAAUAAAAACUAGGAUUAGAUACCCUAUUAUUUAAAAUGUAAGUAUAUUUAUUUGAGUAGUAAUAGUUAUGAUCUUGAAACUUAAAAAAUUUGGCGGUAUUUUAGUCUAUUCAGAGGAACUUGUUUAAUAAUCGAUAAUCCACGAUGUACCUUACUUAAAAUUGUUAAUCAAUUUAUAUAUCGUUGUUAUUAGAAUAUUUUAUAAGAAUUAAUAAUUUUCUAAAAUUUUUAUUAAAAUUAAUAUCAAAUCAAGGUGUAGUUUAUUUUUAAGUAUAAAUGAGUUACAAUAUAUUUUAUAUUUAUGAAUUUAAAUAUGAAAAAUUUAAUGAAAGUGGAUUUGAUAGUAAAAUUAUAAAGAUAAAUAAUUUGAUUUUAGCUCUAAAAUAUGUACAUAUCGCCCGUCACUCUUGUUAUUAAAAUAAGAUAAGUCGUAACAUAGUAGAUGUACUGGAAAGUGUAUCUAGAUU